UACAGAGGUGCCAAGCGUUAGGCGGAAUCACUGGGCUUAAAGCGCGCGCGAGGCGAUGUUUAAGUGUCUUGUGAAAUCCCACGGCUCAACCGUGGAACUGCUGGGCAUACUGGACAUCUUGAGGCACUCAAGGGCGAGCGGAACAAGUGGUGGAGCGGUGAAAUGCGUAGAUAUCACUUGGAACGCCAAUGGUGAAGACAGCCUCGCUGGGGGUGUCCUGACGCUGAGGCGCGGAAAGCCAGGGGAGCGA
rnacentral:rRNA from 1 species